rfam:Ixodes scapularis strain Wikel colony gcontig_1108379827846, whole genome shotgun sequence.
GCAGUCGGUGCCGAGUGGUUAGGGCGAUGAACUUAGAAAUCCAUUGGGGUCUCCCCACACAGGUUCGAAUCCUGUCGACUGCG